AGUUUGUUCUAGGGUCAGAAGGUUCAGGGAGGCAUGGUUGCAUGCAUUCAUGCAUAUCACUAGCUACAUUUGUAGGGAAUAGAAUAAUUGGGCUAUUAAAGAUAUUGAUUUAAGACUUAAUUAUAGGCUUAAAUAUGUUUUAUUGACCAUGCUCAUUUUUUAUUGUCAAGAGGCUUUUGUGGAUGCCAUUUAAGCUUUCAUACCUUUUAUAGGAUCCUAGGGUGCAUUUGAUUGGCCAAAUUUUCCAUGGAAAAUGGCCAUUUUGCACCCAAAUUCCAUCUUUUUAGGUGUUUGAUUGGCCAAAUUUUCUAGGCAAAAUAUUUUCUCACUUUUGGUCACGUGAUCAGAUUUUCCACGAAAUGUUGUGCGCAGACG